AUUUUGUUCUGAGCGUGUAGUGAUUGAGUCAAAAAUAGACCAAAGAUGAGUGUAUAGAAGUAAGAGUGUAACCAUAACUGUCAAACGCGCACAUGGGAAAACAACAAUCAACAAAUCAAAACAACAGCAACCGAAGAAGAAAAUUUGGAUUUCGAUUCGUCAUCGCAGUGAAAGCAUUAUUACUGAAAAUCCGCCAUCUGCUCACAUCCCAGAGUCGCUGCCAGAAUUGAAGGAGGAAAUAUCCGUAUUGUUCGUCAAUAAGGCAGCGGAUAAAUAAGUGCUCCCCGGGUGGUCAGUAGAAACGGAAACCGAGCGAGGUAGCGAAGGUAGCAGCAAUCCGUCGUCACCGAUUCCAGUAGAAAGCUGUGGAGGACUUGCAAUUGCUGCUGCUAAGACGGAAUCCGAGUCUCCUAUUGCCAGAUUAGCCGGAAGGACAUACAACCAAAGCUCAGAUUGCUGAAGACUUUGGUGGCGAAGGGCAAAGAGGAAAAGAAGGAGAAAGAAACCUUCACAGCCUCGAGACAAGGCAAAGGUGAGUCUAACCAUAAAAACCCCUCCUAUACUCAGUAAAGUAGCUGCUCGUUAUUGUAGUGUCGGGUGCCCAGCAAACCACAUUACGGACGGUAGCCAUAAAUUUAGCGAAAUUACCAACGGCCCCAUUGGGUGAGUGCCUUAUUAUCGUACUGCAUGAGCCAAUCUUAAAGUAGCGAUGAAUUUUAAUAGGGUCGUUUUUGGGAGCUGAGCCAAACGCUUUUCGGGACUCGAUUUUCGCCAUCUUGGUUUUGCGAGUCCCGUUUUUGCGAAAUCAAGCUGCGGACGUUGCGAGAGCCAGCCGGAAGUAGGCGGAAGUGCUCCGGGCAGCUGUGGUACGCCCGUCGAAGCAGUGCAGCCAGGCAGGGUUGCCAGUUCUACAGAAAAUCCGUGAUAUUAAGCUGUGAUACACCUGUGCCGUCCGAGCUGUGAUAUGAUUGUUGUUAUUGUUUGGAUGUUAGGGUAGGAAACGGGCCCGUGAGUAAUAAUGUAAGCUAGCUUAAGUUUUUAAAAUGUCGUGUGUAAGUAAAUAAUUAGAGAGUUGUCAAAGGAAUAUCGAAAUUAUUCACCGUCAAAUUGGUCCUGCCAAAACAACAUCGAAUAUUGAUAUUCUCAAAGCUUUGUAUUCAAGAUUGGCACAUUAUAAGUCGCGAUUGGCCAUCAUUGCGCCACCAGAUUUUCUUAUGGAAACCUUGUCGUCACUUCGUAUUCUAGUAGAUAUGUUGCUAGCGGAUAUUGAUCUUGUGAUAAAUCCAGUGCUACCAGUGCAAACAAGUGGAGUGAGUACGGUAUAUGAGGAGACUUGUUCGAAUGAAGCAGAAGGUGGUCAAAAUUCAGCGUUGUCAGCAAGAUCGGAGAAAACACCCACUCCACCAGGUUUCCACGUCAGAGAGCCAGAACAGCAGCAUCAAGAGAGACCCCAGCAACAUCUAAGACAGCCAGCAGCCGGAGAGCCUUUCCAGCAUCAGCAGCUUCAUGCAGUACUGAAUCAACAACGCGAGCAGAUAAAUACAGAGCUUAAAAAUUUUGAAGAUUUGAAGCAGCAACAGCAGGAGAUCAACCGGUACAGGCAGGCACAGGCAACACAAGUUGUUGCAUCGGCAUUUCAACAACAACAGCAACUAGAUUUGGUGGAACAACAACAACAAUUGAUACGGCAGCUGCAAAACAGAAAUCAGCAAUUAGAGCAGGCAAAUCGACUGUUGCAGAGACAAAAUAAUCGACAACAACAGCAACCAUCACACCAAGAGGAAGUAGUUCGUCGCAUACCUAAGGGUAUUCACAAUUGGCCAUUCAGAUUCCGGGGCCAGCAUGAUACAACCUCUUUGAAUGUUUUUUUGGACAGAGUUGAGGCGUAUGCAUCUUCAGAGAACGUGGACGAAGGAACUUUACUAGCCAACGUGAAACACCUACUGGAAAAAUCAGCUCAAGAUUGGUACACCCAUGCAUUUUUCGAAGGCCGACUGACGUCAUGGGAGGAGUUUAAGAUAGAAAUACGCAGGGAGUUUCUGCCGAGUAGUUACUCUCAAAUUCUUCGCCUGGAAGUCUCUUAUCGUUUUCAAGGGCAAAACGAAUCGUUUGCAGAGUUUUAUCGUGCUAUUUCAAUGCUGUUUCGCUUCAUUACGCCGCCGAUGUCAGAGGAGGACAAGAUCUUUAUUAUUAAGAAAAACAUGUGUGUAGAUUACGCCAUCAUCGUUGCAGCAGCAAACCCGACAACAGUGAAUGAGUUGGUGAGAAUAUGCUCCAGUUACGACGACACACGCAGGCUAUUGAAUUGUCAACGCAAAAUUCCACUCCCACACAGCAGCUUGCUGGAGCCGAACUUUGCAACCCCGGUUCAACAACAGCGAUCGAAUGUCCCACCGACCAAUCAACGCUUCAGCCGAGUGAACACAAUAGAAGAAGAAGAGCCCACGUUUUCUUCCGAUGCAACGCAACAAUCGGAACACGAGGAAUUGCAAGCGAAAAUCGAGGACCUGGAACAGCAAGUAUGUGCUUUCAAGAUGCAGCUCAAUAAGCAACGAGUAGAAGGAAGACCAAUGGGUGUGAGAAGCCAAGAACAGAUGAAAUCUCUCCAACGGCAGCCAGACCAACAGUUUCGUCUUCUCCGCAGACAACCAGAACUUCAACAAGCUUCUUCGCAAUGGUUAGGAAACCCAGUUGCUCAGACGUACUCUCAUGAGACGGUUAUAUAGACAAGCAUCAAACCCACAGCCGCAACUCUCCGUAAGAUCGCAACACUUUCAAGAAGCAAUACCGCAAGAUAGUCAACGAAACGCUUCGGAGCAGCAGCUCCAACAACACCAAGCAGCCUCGGGAAGUCUAUUGAAAGUUUGUUGGAAUUGCGACGAGGAAGGCCAUCGCUUCACAGACUGUCCGAGACCACAGGCCAUAUUAUUUUGCUAUCGCUGCGGUAGAAAGGGCUAUUCGCUACGUAGUUGCUUUACUUGUCGCACAGAUUCGGGAAACUUGGCAGCGGAGAAUCGCCAAUAGAGGGAAGCCAUUCUUCGUCUCUUGUAUAUCCCUCAACCAUCUUUGAUUUCCAUUUCCUUCACUCGAUCAUCAUUAACACUGGAGUCGAUAAUCGACCACACGCAAAAAAUUAAAAUCCGUGAAAAAGAAUUCACUGCACUUUUGGAUAGUGGAGCUACCUGUUCACUGCUAGGAGGAAAAAUGACAAGAUUAGUUGAAGAACUGAACUUGCCGGAAGAAACUAUAAAUGGAGGAAUUCGUACUGCAGAUGGAACAAAACAUGCCGUGCAGGGUUUUGUAAGGCUGCCUAUUGAAUACAAUAAUCGGAAAAGCAAUUUACCUCUUUUGAUUAUACCAAGCAUUCCUGAUUGUAUAAUUCUCGGAAUGAAUUUUUGGGAAAAAUUUGGAGUUAAAGCCAUUUGCUGCAUGGCCGAACAUAUAGUUGACAGCAAAAACGACGAACCAAUGAAGCAACUGUCGCCUGAAGAGAAAGUGCAACUAGAUGCCGUGAUAUCAAAAUUUCCAGUGGCAACAGAAGGGCAUUUAGGAAGAACCACUUUAUAUGUCCACAAGAUUGAUGUGGGAGGAGCAAUACCACGAAAACAACGCUACUACACGAUGUCACCAUACGUUCUAGAUGAAAUCAAUAAAGAAAUUGAUAGAAUGCUUUCGUUAGACGUUAUUGAAGAGGCACAAUUCUCUCCAUGGAACAAUCCUCUGGUGGCGGUAAAGAAGAAAACCGGGAACUACAGGGUAUGCCUGGACGCUCGUUACCUUAAUUCCAUUAUGGUUAAUGAAGGGUACCCCAUACCACAGAUCUCAGCCAUAAUCAACAAUCUAGGCAAUUGCAGUUACAUCACUUCAAUCGACCUGAAAGAUGCGUUCUGGCAGCUACCACUAGAAAAAAGUUCUCGUCCGCUGACUGCCUUUACUGUACCUCAACGGGGACAUUAUCAGUUCAAAGUUGUUCCUUUUGGGUUAUGCACAGCGAGUCAGGCAUUAUCGAGGGUAAUGACACACCUUUUUGCAGAUCUGGAACCACAAGUAUUUUGUUAUCUGGAUGACAUUAUAAUAUGCUCCCAAACGUUCGAAGAACAUCUUCAAUUACUUACCGAGGUAUCAAACCGUUUAAAAAGGGCUAAUUUGACCAUUUCAAAAGAAAAGUCCAAGUUUUGUAGAGCUGAAUUAAAAUAUCUUGGCUUCGUUCUGAACGAGAAAGGAUGGAACGUAGAUCCAGAGAAAAUCAGCUGCAUCAUAAGUUUUCCAACCCCCACAACAAGGAAAGAACUACAACGUUUUCUUGGCUUAAGCAACUGGUAUCGCCGUUUUAUUGAGAACUUCUCGGAAAUAGCAGCGCCGUUAACUGAGCUCACCAAAACUAAGGCAAAGUUUAGAUGGAACACUGGAGCGGAACAAGCAUUCGAAAAACUGAAAAAAGCCCUUACUUCUGCACCUGUCUUAGCAAUGCCAAACUAUAACAAGCCGUUUGCGAUAGCCUGUGAUGCAAGUGAUAUUGCAAUAGGAGCGGUCCUGACGCAGGAGUUCGAGGGACAAGAGCAUCCGAUUUGUUACUUUUCUCAAAAACUGUCGUCCUCGGAACGUAAAUACUCGGUAACAGAAAGAGAAUGUCUAGCCGUUAUUAGAGCCAUUGAAAAGUUCAGAGGGUUCAUAGAGGGGAUUAAGUUCACAGUGUAUUGUGAUCAUGCAGCACUAAGUUAUCUUAGGUCCCUGAAGAAUCCUACCGCACUCAUGAGUCGUUGGCUACUCCGCUUGAACGCGUUUGAUUUCAACAUCAAAUACCGCAAAGGCACAGUGAACGUCGUCCCCGAUGCACUAUCCAGAAUUGUUCCAGACAGCGUUCUGGCAGUAACAACAGAAGCAGAUUCCUGGUACACGCGGUUGAAGGAACAGGUAAAGCAAAACGCAAGCAAUUUUCCGGACUUCAAGCUGAUUGACAAAGAGUUAUACAAAAACUGCAAGUGCAAAGAUGAGUUGGGAACGGUUACGCAUAGAUGGAAGAAGAUUGUUCCGAAGAACGAGCGGUUGGAUAUGAUCCGAAGGUUCCAUGACUCGACAUCGUCAGCGCACUUGGGUCUCAUGAAAACUCUCCACAAAAUACAGACCUUCUACUACUGGCCUAAGAUGGCUGAGGAUGUAGCAGCAUACAUCAGGACAUGCGAUAUUUGUAAGGCGAGCAAAGCAUCGAACACUGCGAUGAUGCCAACCAUGGGAGCGGCGAAACCUGCACGACUUCCUUGGGAAUUAAUCUCGGUCGAUUUUGUCGGCCCCUUAACCAGAUCAAAAGCAGGAAACACAGUAAUGUUGGUCGUAGUAGACUGGGUGACCAAGUACAUAAUAGUCCAUCCCAUGCGCGCGGCAGACUCGGUCAAAAUGGUGGAUUUUUUGGAAAAGCAGGUAUUCCUGAAGUUCUCGAGGCCACGAAUCAUCUUAUCGGACAACGGGAAACAAUUUUUAUCGUCAGCGUUUAAAGCUCUGUUGGCAAAACACCACAUCACACACAUGACAACAGCUUACUACUGUCCGAUGGUGAACAAUGCUGAGCGGGUUAACCGGGUGCUCAUAACUUGCAUCAGGGCGUUAAUCGAAGAGGACCAUCGGAACUGGGACGCCUACCUAGCGGCCAUCACGGCAGCUAUAAAUAGCGCUAAACAUGAAGUUACGGGAAUAAGUCCUCACCAUGCAAAUUUUGGUAGAGACUUAGUGCUUCACACGGAUCUGUACACACAACAGGCAAUCAAUACACCGAAAGAUCCCAAAGUAGCUCAGGAAGUACGUUUGUCAUCAAUCCGCCGUAUACACGAAUUCAUCCAGCAACGCAUUAAAAACAACCACACAAAAUCAAAGCAACGAUACGACGUCAAUAAGAAACCAGCUACAUUUCUUGUGGGUGACUUGGUGUGGCGUCGCAACUUUACCCUCUCAUCGAAGGCGGACCACAUCAAUAGAAAAUUGGACCCCAAAUUUGUACCGGCGAUGGUUAGGAAAAUUCUGGGCACCAACCUCUACGAACUGGAAGAUGUCCAAUCAGGAAAACAGGGUCGGUAUCAUGCUAAAGACAUGAAAGCCGACUAGUAAAAAUUCAAGCUAUGUAAGCAGUUGCUGACAACACACACACAAAAUACGACAUUGAGACGGCUGAUGGACCUACAUACACACAUUGAAACCUCGCCUCCAAUCCUAUCGGACCACGACAACACGUUCCUGACGCCGAACUAGCGUUGAAUUGCGCUUGGGAUAUUGGAAUGCUGGAAAUCCUGGAAAGUACAGCAGCUCCAAACACCACGUCGCUGCAGUCAAAGGGAUUGUCAGGACAACAUCAAGAACCCCGCGGAUUACAGUUUUGCGCAGAAGUCGUGCGGAGUAGACUUCAUGACGGCCGCUACUACCAUAUCGACUCUCUGCCGCAAACUACCAAUACCGCCAUGUUCCAGCUAUGACGCAGAUCAACCACCAUUUGUGAACCACUACGCUCAAUGCGCUAAAAACACCGUUAGCCGAUCGGGAAAAAUCGUGCCACCAUCGAGGGCAUUUAGCAGGAUCAUCGCUCGCUAUCUCCUCGAAUUAUCACAGCUAUGACGACAGGCUAGGCCUGUGAACGACUGCGUUAUCGCCGAAAACACCGUUGCCGAUCGGGACAAAUCGAGCCAUCGUCAAGCGCAGCGAGCAACAACACCUUUCACUACCUCCUCGCUUGACGACUAUACAGCUACGUCCAUCACCAAGGGUGAUCAACAAAGAGAUCUUCUUAGACUCAGCAAACACGCACAGCGUCAAUCACCACACUACACCGAACGUGACAGUAUGCCCGACUAGAGCAUUGGUUAACGCCUUCGCAAGCGGAUAGAGCUCAUCCGCAGCGACAGUGCGGAAUUCACGCUGCAAAUCUGCUCCCCGAGCGACAGCAGUAAUUUCCUCGACAUGGACAACACAUACUGAAGCAGUACGGAGUGUGCAGGUAUCGUCUGGACAGGCUCCUCAGUAAAUGGAGGUCAAAAACAGGACCAUGCAGACCGAGAAUACCCGGAAAUGACUCCUCAGCGCCAAGGCGCUUCCCGUUCACGAACCGAGAAAAAUCGUACUCUGUGGGCUGGACGCAGUUCACAGAGAGUUUCGAAUAGAGACAGCGUUGGUUUGUCAAAGCUAGGCGAAUCAAUGCAUCACCGAUAUAGACACCUUUCUACCCGCAAGGCCUCCCGCGGGCUAGCCGUUAGUCAGGGCGAGAGAAACUGACCGUGUUCAUGCUAAACGCAAACACGCCGUUACUGGAACGUGACAAACCAGCAAGAAGCUCUCUUGAGCGCGAUCCGUUAGUCAGGGCGAGAGAAACUGACCGUGUACAUGCCUCGCGCUGUCACGCCGUUACUGGAACGUGACAAACCAGCAAAUCCAGCUAUGCACGCAGAAACACGACUGCCAACAACGGAUGACCACUCCACGAAAAUCCGGACAGACAGACCGUUUGCCGAUCGGAACAAAUCGAGCCGCGGAGAGCAACAUCUGGACAACAGCACCAUUAAACCAGCUAUGAGCUACACCAGCUACGAAGAUAACACCAAAAUACAACCUUGGAACAAAACAACAAACCGUACUAAUCUGGAAUGGUGUCACUACAUACGAGGUGAAUCCAGUGUUCGAACCACAUGCUGAACUAGUCCUAAUUUUAGGGGGAGUAGCAUAAACGGGGUCGUCAAGAAAACCCUCCAUUCAAAAGCAACGCGAUCUGGAGGCGCGGUAUAACCUCCAUUCGGGCUCUUGGCGAUCAGGGAACUAAAUUCUCCCUUUCCACGGAUUUGCUGCUUUUCCCUCCUUUUAUAUCACCAUAUUUUUUAACCUCUUUUUAAUUUUUAUAUUUGUUCAAUGUUUUGUGUUUUUGAGCAAAUUCGUAAUGUUUAAGCUACUGUUUUGUGUUUGUAACCGUAGCGGAGGCAAGAAUUUGAAAGCUGGUACAGGAACGGUCAGAGACGAUUUGCCAAGACUCGUUGGCGUUCGGUCAAGUCUUCCAGAAGUCGCUGGAGUAGUAUUUUCGAUUUGGGCCUUUAAGUUUCGAUCUGGCAAGCAUUGUUGUGGCUUGCGAAGUUUCGUGGUUGCCUUAGGGUGGCCAGACCGAUGUCUCUGAUCGUUGCCUAGGUAUAGAGGUUUUUGAAUUUUUCAUGAAUCGUUGUCUCCGAUUCAUGAAAAAUUCUUCCGUUGCGGUAGUGUAUGUAGCAUUAUAAUUAAGUUUGUCUAGCUAUUUUGUUCUGAGCGUGUAGUGAUUGAGUCAAAAAUAGACCAAAGAUGAGUGUAUAGAAGUAAGAGUGUAACCAUAACUGUCAAACGCGCACAUGGGAAAACAACAAUCAACAAAUCAAAACAACAGCAACCGAAGAAGAAAAUUUGGAUUUCGAUUCGUCAUCGCAGUGAAAGCAUUAUUACUGAAAAUCCGCCAUCUGCUCACAUCCCAGAGUCGCUGCCAGAAUUGAAGGAGGAAAUAUCCGUAUUGUUCGUCAAUAAGGCAGCGGAUAAAUAAGUGCUCCCCGGGUGGUCAGUAGAAACGGAAACCGAGCGAGGUAGCGAAGGUAGCAGCAAUUCGUCGUCACCGAUUCCAGUAGAAAGCUGUGGAGGACUUGCAAUUGCUGCUGCUAAGGUGAGAUGAAAAUUGCCCUGCGAGUAACGGUAUAACGGAGUGUGGUAUUGUUUACAGACGGAAUCCGAGUCUCCUAUUGCCAGAUUAGCCGGAAGGACAUACAACCAAAGCUCAGGUAAAACAACAUUCGUCCUUCGAGAAUUAUCCUCUCUAAACCCAGCAUUUUGCCGUAGAUUGCUGAAGACUUUGGUGGCGAAGGGCAAAGAGGAAAAGAAGGAGAAAGAAACCUUCACAGCCUCGAGACAAGGCAAAGGUGAGUCUAACCAUAAAAACCCCUCCUAUACUCAGUAAAGUAGCUGCUCGUUAUUGUAGUGUCGGGUGCCCAGCAAACCACAUUACGGACGGUAGCCAUAAAUUUAGCGAAAUUACCAACGGCCCCAUUGGGUGAGUGCCUUAUUAUCGUACUGCAUGAGCCAAUCUUAAAGUAGCGAUGAAUUUUAAUAGGGUCGUUUUUGGGAGCUGAGCCAAACGCUUUUCGGGACUCGAUUUUCGCCAUCUUGGUUUUGCGAGUCCCGUUUUUGCGAAAUCAAGCUGCGGACGUUGCGAGAGCCAGCCGGAAGUAGGCGGAAGUGCUCCGGGCAGCUGUGGUACGCCCGUCGAAGCAGUGCAGCCAGGCAGGGUUGCCAGUUCUACAGAAAAUCCGUGAUAUUAAGCUGUGAUACACCUGUGCCGUCCGAGCUGUGAUAUGAUUGUUGUUAUUGUUUGGAUGUUAGGGUAGGAAACGGGCCCGUGAGUAAUAAUGUAAGCUAGCUUAAGUUUUUAAAAUGUCGUGUGUAAGUAAAUAAUUAUAAUUGCUACAGAUUUGGGUUUUGCGUGUUUGUGUUUUGGGUAAAAGUUAGCCGAGCAGCACACACUGAAAGUCAGUGGUGCUCAACCUGUUUCAAAGUGUCAAAAACAAGAAAAUAUUUGUCAGUAUUGUUGUAAAAUUUAUACAGCGAAACGACUUACUUACCGAAUAAGGGUUUGCUAUCAGACAACACCAAAUUCUGAUCACUCUAUUUUUUCAAAACCUUCAAGUUCCAAAUCUGACACCUCGAUUGCUGAUUUUCCAGCAAUAAUUAUACUUAAUUUAUAUAUAGUAAGUAAGUAUAUAUUUACCAUGUUGCAAAUUUUCAACUAUUUGGAGUAGCUGAUUGAUUCUUUUCUCCACAAUAUACUUACAUUGACAUAUUUUACAUUCACUCCAUAACAGUUCAUACGAAGUCAUGCAUGGUGCCGGGUAUGGCAUUUGGGAAUUCUUUAAAUCAUAUUUUAAAUCCAUAUUUUUAUCGAACUGCGGUGAAUCCGUGACCCCAUGGUGGAUUUUCUAUAUACAUGACAUAUACAUUAGGGUGGCCCAAAAUUGUACUA